rnacentral:rRNA from 1 species
UACAGAGGGGGCAAGCGUUGUUCGGAAUUACUGGGCGUAAAGGGCGCGUAGGCGGCCCGCUAAGUCGAACGUGAAAUCCCCAGGCUCAACCUGGGAACUGCGUCCGAUACUGGCAGGCUUGAAUCCGGGAGAGGGAUGUGGAAUUCCAGGUGUAGCGGUGAAAUGCGCAGAUAUCAGGAAGAACACCUAUGGCGAAGGCAGCACUCUGGGACGGUACUGACGCUGAGACGCGAAAGCGUGGGGAGCGAUCCGG